UGAGUCGGCCGGGUGAUCGCGGCCCCCCGAACCGCCGUGUCAACGGUCAGGCGGGGGACCGAGGAAAGUCCGGACUCCGGAGGGCACGGUGGUUGCUAACAGCAACCCGGAGUGAUCCGCGGGAAAGUGCAACAGAGAGUAGACCGCCCGCCUUUUCUAAGGUGGGUAAGGGUGAAAGGGUGCGGUAAGAGCGCACCGGCAUGUGUGGUGACACGCGUGGCCAGGUAAACCCCACCGGGAGCAAGGCAAGAGCCCCCGCUUGUUUUGAGCGGAGGUCGUCGGACGCGAUGAGGCGGCCCGCCCAGUCCGAAGGUAGCUGCUUGAGGCCCCCAGCGAUGGGAGGUCCAGAUGGAUGAUCGCCGCCUGGUUUCCAGGAACAGAAUCCGGCUCAUAGGCCGGCUCAUUCG
rnacentral:RNase_P_RNA from 2 species